AACCAAUAUCGCAAGAUGAAUUGUCCAGUUGAUCGCUGGAUUGAAUGACGUGUCACACAUACACUGGGAUGUGUGAUGGUGAUCCGAGUUAGAGGCCUUUGGUCUUGUCGGACCUGCCAUCGUGCAGCCCACUCAU
rnacentral:misc_RNA from 1 species